UACGUAGGGUGCAAGCGUUAAUCGGAAUUACUGGGCGUAAAGCGUGCGCAGGCGGUUUUGUAAGACAGAGGUGGAAUCCCCGGGCUCAACCUGGGAACUGCCUUUGUGACUGCAAGGCUUGAGUGCGGCAGAGGGGGAUGGAAUUCCGCGUGUAGCAGUGAAAUGCGUAGAUAUGCGGAGGAACACCGAUGGCGAAGGCAAUCCCCUGGGCCUGCACUGACGCUCAUGCACGAAAGCGUGGGGAGCAAACAGG
rnacentral:rRNA from 1 species